GAGGACCAGUAGAGUGGCCCCCCCGGAUGAACCAGGGGAGUCCGCAGCCUCUGGGCCAGCUGCCGCCCCAUAGUGGUGCAUCUGUGGGUGGAGGAACCAGGUGGCCCCUGCUGCCUCCCUCGCUGCUGCCUCUCUGCCUCUCUCGCUGCCGCCAGCUGGGUAGAGCAGCAAGCCAGGGCCAUCAGAGCCACCUGCGCAGGAUGCUGGAGACAACUGCUUCCGGGGAGCUCUCGAAUUCGGGGAGGACUGAGAACUCCUGGCAGUCCUUCUGUCCCAAUUCAGCAGACUUCUUCGAGCAAGAACGAGAGGACUCCAGGAAUGACUGUGUCCAGAAAUAGCCCACAGCCACCGCGAGGCCCAGAGCAACCCUGGCCAAAACAUAAAACCCCAGAAGAAGAGUUCCAUCAGUGCCAACAAGAUGUGGAGCGUCUUGCCCAGCUGGAGGCACACCGCCAUCUAGCAGGAGAUCAUCUAUCUAUCUAUCUAUCUAUCUAUCUAUCUAUCUAUCUAUCUAUCUAUCUUAUACCCUACCCAAACUUACGUCUGCAUGCAGUGGGCACAGCUCUGCAAGCUGGUUGCCGAACUUGGCAAAGAAGAGGAGCUGCUCAAGUGGGGAGAGAGAGCAGCGAGAGGCAUAGCACCCACUGGAGGAAUAGGAGCACCUUUACCCCAAGCAGCAUGAACAGGAGCCAGAGAUGCUUCUGCCUCGACAGCAACAGCCAGCCGAGGUUACCCCUGAGGGCUCCGUUGUCUUCACCCCAGGAGAGGAUCCCCAUGUGGUUCUCACCCCCUUUGAACGGGCUGAGCAGAACCAGGAUCUCCAGGAGGGCAAGUCCGUGAGUGGUCUGGUCAAUGGGGAUCUGGCCAAGGGCUGCAGUAGCAGGCCAGAAGGAGGGGAUGUCACUGGUGUCAUGGCUGA